rnacentral:rRNA from 1 species
UGCCCAGGGCUACACACGUGCGUACAAUGAGUGGUACAAAGAGAGGCAAGCUCGCGAGAGUAAGCAAAUCUCAAAAAGCCAUCCUCAGUUCGGAUUGGAGUCUGCAACUCGACCCCAUGAAGUCGGAAUCGCUAGUAAUCGCGGAUCAGCAUGCCGCGGUGAAUACGUUCCCGGGCCUU